rnacentral:rRNA from 1 species
UACAGAGGGGGCAAGCGUUGUUCGGAAUUACUGGGCGUAAAGGGCGCGUAGGCGGCCUUCUAAGUCGAACGUGAAAUCCCUGGGCUCAACCCAGGAACUGCGUCCGAUACUGGGAGGCUUGAAUCCGGGAGAGGGAUGCGGAAUUCCAGGUGUAGCGGUGAAAUGCGUAGAUAUCUGGAGGAACACCGGUGGCGAAGGCGGCAUCCUGGACCGGCAUUGACGCUGAGGCGCGAAAUCCA